GACGAACGCUGGCGGCGUGCCUAAUACAUGCAAGUAGAACGCUGAAGGAGGAGCUUGCUUCUCUGGAUGAGUUGCGAACGGGUGAGUAACGCGUAGGUAACCUGCCUGGUAGCGGGGGAUAACUAUUGGAAACGAUAGCUAAUACCGCAUAAGAGUAGAUGUUGCAUGACAUUUGCUUAAAAGGUGCACUUGCAUCACUACCAGAUGGACCUGCGUUGUAUUAGCUAGUUGGUGAGGUAACGGCUCACCAAGGCGACGAUACAUAGCCGACCUGAGAGGGUGAUCGGCCACACUGGGACUGAGACACGGCCCAGACUCCUACGGGAGGCAGCAGUAGGGAAUCUUCGGCCUAUGGACGGAAGUCUGACCGAGCAACGCCGCGUGAGUGAAGAAGGUUUUCGGAUCGUAAAGCUCUGUUGUAAGAGAAGAACGAGUGUGAGAGUGGAAAGUUCACA
rnacentral:rRNA from 1 species